AGCUUUGCGCAGUGGCAGUAUCGUAGCCAAUGAGGUUUAUCCGAGGCGCGAUUAUUGCUAAUUGAAAAAGUAAAUGAAUAAUAUACAGUCAUCCAUCCACAGAGGAUUAAUUCCAGGAUCUUCCCCCUGCUCACCAAGCCAAAAUCAACCCAAAUCCACAGCUGCUCGAAG
ensembl:snRNA LOC120101126 U4 spliceosomal RNA